CCAGGCCGGUUGAGACCACCAACUCAUCAACUGGGUCUGUGCAGAUGUCCGAUAGGCGACCUUUUGACGUCAAGAGGCUAAAAACUCCACCCUCAGAUCAUGCUAAUGCCGCCAUUUUGUGAACAUGGGUCCUGUGAAGAGACAUGGAGUCUGACUACGCUUGCGCACAUCAUCAGUUACCUCACCCCUCCCCACCUCCAAUCACCUCUCUCCACAGUUCAGACCACCUUGCCCCCAUCCCGUAAAUAUCCCUGAGUCCCUAUUUUCGGGGAAGCAAAUUUGAGGCUCAUGCUCUCGCUUCUUCGCAUGGCUGCCUUGAUGCCUACAGAAGAUUCAAAGACACAGUGAAAUGGUCAAAGUCAUCUUCUAGGAGAAGGCUCUAAAAUGACACCUCUGGUGCCAAGACACUAACAAGAUCGCCCCCAGAAUUCUCCUUUCUUCAUCAUCCAGAAAGAUUCACGAUGGUGAAAGUUGCCCCAUGCAGCAGCUGAAAGAUGCCCAAUUACCUUCUGUGAGAGUCAAAGCUUUUGGAAGAAAUGAGCAGCAAAUAUUUUGACCUGGGGUCAAAGAACCAGGACAUCCUUGGAAACACACAGUGCUGCUUUGGAUCUCAACUUAACGACGUGUCAGCU
rnacentral:lncRNA from 1 species